GAUCCCCAGGUUGUGGGUGUGGGAAGGGAAAGAAUAUGGAUAGGUUUGAGGUAAUUUCCCCAGCCAGAGUGAGUUCAAUUAUUCAUGCUGGUGAAACAAGGGGUAGUAAAGGCUUUUUGCCAGCCUGAAUGGGUUCCCAGGAGAAGGACAUAGAUGAAACCUUCAGCAACUUCUGUGACCUUUAGUCUGGCUUCAUUGUUAGGUGCAUGGAGGCAUUGUUAGGGGAUUAUGCCUGCUACCUGAAGGGGUGAUGGGGCUUUCCUAUGUUCCCCCUGUUGAGUGCUUGUGACACUUGUAUUUCCGGGUAAAAGACAUCUGUGGGGGUUAACUCAAAUUAGAUUUCUGGGUAAAAGGUUGCCUUGAACUUGGCGAUCGAGACCAUGCCCAUGAGUUUUGGGGCCAGGGGUUAUCAGGGAUUUUUCAAUAAGAGCAUUUAAAAAUUGGAAACACUUUCCUUACAUUGUUUCAGAUUGAAUCAAAGGGGCCGAUCUAAGACUACCUCUUGUUUGAUCUCUGCUUUAAUUGUUAUAUAUAUAUAUUUAUUGGUGAUAUGUCCUUUCUUUACAAACACAUCUCAAAUACUCUUCUUUUUUGACAUUUUGAAAAUAUUCCUUGAGUUGACAUGGAUUCUUGAUAAAAGAUUUUCUGUGAUGUUUUCUGUGCAUCUCGUGGAACAAAAAUCCUGCAUGAAAAGCAGCAGUUACAAUUGGUUUGUAUUAAUUUCUGUCCACACUAUCUCAGCCUCAGAGGAAAGCUAAGACACCCACUCCCUCUGAACAAAUCUGGCAAAGAACACCCUGUGGUAGGGUUAACUUAGUGUUGGCACAAGUUGGAAGCAACUUGGAGACAUAUCACAACAACAAUCUGUGCAUUCAAAUAUGUAGUGUACAUGUUUCCUAUUUUUCUUCUGUUUCAUGAAAUAGUAACAUUUCCAAAUUAUCGUUGCUCUUUGUAACAGCCAGUUUGGACAAUAAAUGGAUUAAUUGAUUACCUUCUCUGCCAUGUCUAACCCUAAUGUUCCUACUUUUUCCUGCAUCUUUCUUGCUGAAACAACUAUCUGGAAAAAUAAUGUUCACUUACUUCCCCACAGGUGUAAGAAGGAAAAAAUUGAGGUGCCUCGAGCUUUAUUUCUUCGUCAAUGGAAAUGUAUUGAACGUUUUGGUAAAAUCCACAAUAGAUUGCAAACUGACAUCAAUACAUUCAAAGCUACUAUAUUGCCACCGACCCCAGAAAUUCCAAAAGCAAAGCAAGACAGCAAUAUCUGCAAGGACAUGAAAAUUCCCUCACUGGUCGUGGAGCAUUUUCCAGGAAAUGAUGUACAAGUCACAACAUAUAGUAAACUGGCAAGUUUAAUGCCUAUCUGGGCCUUUCGGGCUCCUUCUGAAGAUUUCAAGUUGUCUUGCUUGUCUUAUACUAUGGGAUUUGAAAAAAUAACCUCAGGGUGUCAUUUCUGGCAGGUAGAAAUGGAGAAUGCAACAUUCUGGGCUGUAGGGGUGGCCAAAGAGUCCUUAAGGAAUAGCCAUGAUCAAGGGGUGCAAGAAGGAUACUGGUUUCAAGGCAUGCCAAGGUUCCCAUAUUAUCAAAGUGUGAAAGAAGGGAACUGGGCUAUAUGCCUUUAUUCUGAAAAUGGUACAUAUAAAUGGACUGCAUUCACCUCUCCUAAACUAUCUCUAGGACCAUGUCCCUUUAGAAAUACAAAACUCCAACCUGUCUGUUACACAAAUCCUGAUUUGAACAAGGAUAGAAAAAAGAAUAUCCGUGUGAUCCUGGACUAUGAAAACAGUUCAGUGAUUUUUACAGAUGAGUCUGAUAUGAUUUGCUCCUUUAACAAUGCUUCAUUUUCUGACGAGCCAAUCUCCUCCUGGGUCAGUGUGGGAAAAUGAGAUGAUAUUGGCGAGAAAGCAGGAAACCUCAAUUUGGAUUACGCCAAGCUGCUAUGAACGGGGUAGGGCAGUGAAGCUUAACUCUGUUUCUGCUCAUUGUUCCCAUAAUAACUUCCUUCCAUCUGUUUUCUCCUCUGUUCCAAUCCACGAGUCUCUCUAAGAGAAUGUGGAAUGAGUAUGGGCUUGGGGUUAGUUGGCAACUUUUUCAUAGUCACAUCAAGUUGCCACUUUCCUGAUUUAAUUUCUUUCCCCAAGAACCCAUAGUUCUUUUUGGAAAGAGGACUCAUAUAUGACCCACUUCAAAUGUCAUUGUUUGAAGCCUGCUGCAAAUUGCACUGUUACAAACUGCACUAGUACAAACUGGUGAAACGAAACACAUGACCCAUUUGGGCAAAUGCUAUAAUAUAUGACAACUGCUGCAAGAAUUAUAUAUACUUAGAGAUUGAAGAAACCAUUUAUCCCAAUACAAGAAGAAUUGCUAAUGAACAUAUGUGAAAUAGCUGAGAUAGAGAAAUCGCCUUUGCUGAUUAAGGAGAAAUCUUUAACUAACUUUGAGAAAGAUUGGGCCCUAUUCAUCACUUUUUCACGGCAGUGAUGGAGUCCUUGGUCUAUUGUGAAAUUUAUGAAUUAGUAGAGUUCUGCUUUAAGGGGAAGUGUGGUUACGUUAUUGUCUAAAGAGGGUGAAUGAAUAAGAGAUAAUAACCGUCAGCCAGAGGGUGAGAAGUUUGUAGAGAUUUUCAGUAGUUGUGGACAAAAUGUAGUUGUGUAGUUUUGGUAGCUUUAGAUAUCUAAAAUGCUUGUUUCUGUGUUUAUUAAAGAAAGCAUUGAUUAACCAUGUUCACCAUUGCAUAGUUAUCAUACCAAAACUAGACAUGUUUGUUUGCAAAUAUUGCAUGCCCCAUAGCUGCCAUCCCUAAGAUGGGACAAUGGGCCAGAUCUCAAGCUAAGUCCAACUUCACCCAGGCUGGCAGCCAUCAAUAGGCAUACCAGUGACCUAUGAAAUGUACGGCCAAACUCAAUGCUACCUAAUGCAUCCGAUGAACUUGCAGGUUCAUGCCUAUAUACAGCAGCUCUUGCCAGAGAGAAACCUUCUCAACAAAUCCUGGCAUACCUUUAGGUCAUCCUUAGUUUCUUUAAUGAUAUGAAUAGGGUGAUGAAGUGUUGAUUCUGAGUGGUGCAAUGUGGGGAGAGGAGACUACUCUCUGAAGUUGAGAUGUCCCAACAAUACCUGUAGCUCAGGUGGAAGUCAUUGUGCAUCACAUGCUAAUGUAUCCCCUGUGUAGUGAUCCCAGAUAAAGAUUUCUGAAACCCUUGCUGACACAUAGGAGUAGGAUCUCUCUUGUAGAGUGGCUUCAUUUUUUUUUGAUGAUUUCAAUGAUUAUGUAACAUAGUAUUUUGCUUUGGCUGAAAAACAGAACAUAAAAAGAGAUCUGGAUAAAACUGCCACAGAUUGCCAUGGAGGCCCAAAGUAUCAACUUCAUUUUUAUGUUGAAAUGCUCUUAUUCUUUAUAUGAGUUUGGUAAUAAUUCGGGCUACUAUCUUUUGUACUUUUUAUGUUGAAUGUUCUGUAAAUUGUAAUCCCUUUGACAUGGACAGUAGCUCACACAAUAAACAUAUUGGAUGCUA